CGGCCGCGGUACCCUAACCGUGCAAAGGUAGCAUAAUCACUUGUUCUUUAAAUAAGGACUUGUAUCAACGGCAUCACGAGGGUUCUACUGUCUCCUCUCUCCAAUCGGUGAAACUGAUCUCCCUAUGAAAAAGUGGGGAUAAACUUAUAAGACGAGAAGACCCCAUGGAGCUUUAAAACCUAUAGCAACCUAGCAAACACUUCCAUUUAGCUAUAAAACUAUGCUCAAGGACUUUAGGUUGGGAGGACCACGGAGCACAAAAUAACCUCCGCAAUGAAAAGAAUAAAAUCUUUACCAAAGAGCCACAACUCCAAGAAUUAGAAAACUAACGUACAAUGACCCGAUAUCGAUCAAUGAACUAAGUUACCCUGGGGAUAACAGCGCAAUCCAUUCUGAGAGUUCAUAUCGACGAACGGGCUUACGACCUCGAUGUUGGAUCAGGGUAUCCUGGUGGUGCAGCCGCUACCGAAGGUUCGUUU
rnacentral:rRNA from 1 species